rnacentral:rRNA from 1 species
CCCAAACCAAUAAAGUUUUCUUUAUUGGGGUUGCGGACAUAUCAUAACGAAGAGGUAUCGUAAUUGAAGAGGUUUGGAAAGACCCACCACAGAAGGUAAUAGUCCUGUAUGUUAAACGAGAAGACUUCAGAUAUGAUCCAGAGUACCACGGGACACGUGAAACCCUGUGGGAAGCAGGAGGGACCACCCUCCAAGGCUAAAUACUACCUAGUGACCGAUAGCGUAUAGUACCGUGAGGGAAAGGUGAAAAGAACCCCGGGAGGGGAGUGAAAUAGAACCUGAAACCCUGCACUUACAAGCUGUGGAAGCACAUUUCUUGUGUGACCGCGUACUUUUUGUAGAACGGGCCAACGAGUUACGUUAAGUAGCAAGGUUAAGCACUUAAGGUGCGGAGCCGUAGCGAAAGCGAGUUUUAACUGAGCGUUCAGUUACUUGACGUAGACCCGAAACCGGGCGACCUACCCAUGAGCAGGAUGAAGCGAAAGUAAAAUUUCGUGGAGGUCCGAACCCACGAGCG